rnacentral:rRNA from 1 species
UGGGGAAUAUUGGACAAUGGGCGAAAGCCUGAUCCAGCCAUGCCGCGUGUGUGAAGAAGGUCUUCGGAUUGUAAAGCACUUUAAGUUGGGAGGAAGGGCAUUAACCUAAUACGUUAGUGUUUUGACGUUACCGACAGAAUAAGCACCGGCUAACUCUGUGCCAGCAGCCGCGGUAAUACAGAGGGUGCAAGCGUUAAUCGGAAUUACUGGGCGUAAAGCGCGCGUAGGUGGUUUGUUAAGUUGGAUGUGAAAUCCCCGGGCUCAACCUGGGAACUGCAUUCAAAACUGACUGACUAGAGUAUGGUAGAGGGUGGUGGAAUUUCCUGUGUAGCGGUGAAAUGCGUAGAUAUAGGAAAGAACACCAGUGGCGAAGGCGACCACCUGGACUAAUACUGACACUGAGGUGCGAAAGCGUGGGGAGCAAACA